rnacentral:misc_RNA from 1 species
AUCACGUGCGUUGCACGGGUUGAAGAAACCGGACUGAGAAAGCAUGGCGGAGGAUGACCGAGUGAUGGUGAAGCGGCGAAUCUAGAACCGUCAAGAAAACCACCGAGAUUUUGACAGACCAGAGGAUGAGAGUGGAGAAGCAACUUAUCAGGCCAGGCACCGUUACCAAGCUUGCAGCCGGUCAAAGUGUCACCGUUCACUGCACCGGUUAUGGUUAGCCAUUCUUCUUUUCUGUUAUACGCUAAAUUUCAAGUGAUUUACAUUUGAUACUUAGAAACGAGAGAAAUUGAGAUUAUUAUAUUGCAUUUGAUGGUAUUUUUUCUAACAUUCUAAACGAUUACAGCUUGCCCUCUGUUUCUCUCUCUCAUUUGGGAAACAUGCUUAUGGGAUGGGAUUAUUGCGGGAAAUUGGUCGAAUGAUUAGUUCAGAUGUUCUAAAUUAGGGUUUGAGUUGCCAUGUGUGAACAUAAGAGUGGAAAUUUUCGGUCUUUUGUGAAUCGAGAUUAUUGUGCUAUUGAAGCAAAAUUAAACAAGAAACUAUUUCAUGCCCAAUUAAUUUGAGGAUAAGACGUAUUUUUCCUAGAAUUGGGUGCCUUUCCUAUAGUAAUAUCCAUUUUAAAUCUCCCCUGCUUGGAAGCAAAAGAACUAUAAUCAAAUAGGAUCACAGAGAAAUUACUAUUUUAGAGUACUCUAUGAUGCAGAAUAGUUGGACUUUUGCCGAAAGCUGCAUAUUAAUGUUCUUCUUUUCUGCAGGGAAGAAUGGUGAUCUCUCUCAGAAGAUUUGGAGCACAAAGGAUCCUGGGCAGAAGCCUUUCACAUUCAAAAUUGGCCAGGGAAAUGUUAUAAAAGGAUGGGAUGAAGGUGUCUUGGGAAUGCAAAUUGGAGAAGUUGCUCGUCUGCGGGUACUACUUAAUUCUUAUAAUUGUUUUCUUUGCUACUGUAACCAUUUUAAGUAAAUUAAAUUCUGCAAUGCAUGGGUUAAAAAUAAUAGUCGCAUAUGUUAUGUUUCCAGUUGAAAUGUUUUCGGUGAAGGUAUGAAGCAUAAUUUAUGCAAAUAUCUCAUUAUUGUAAUUUUAUUAACAUGUGGUACUGCAUGUUUUGCUGAUCGUAGCACCCUUAAUGUAGCACUCUUUAUCUGACAUGAGAUUUUCUUUCAUUGAAUUCUGAAAUUAUGAAUUCUUCAAAUUGCUGAAUAGUUCUCUCAAAAGUAUUCCAAAAUCCUCUUAGUUUCCUCCUUUUUUCAAUUUUUAUCUCAUUGAUUUUUGUUUUUAGUCUUGAAGACAUUUAAUCAUUGCAAUCUAAAAGAGGAAUUUUUUCUUCACUUUUCUGUGUUUUAAACAGAAUGAGAUUUGAGAAAAGGAUUUGUAAUUAGAAAGAAAAAGUGAUAAAGAGGGCAAUUAAAAUGAUGAUUAUAGUGGUGGAAUUUUGAUGAACAAUGUUUUUGUUUUUUGGGUUAAAUAAUAAGCAAUUUGGAUGUAUGCUAUAUCAUGGUGAUUUCAUUCACCAUUGCUGUCAACAGAAUUGCAGAGGUAAUGGGAGGGGAUGAUGGGAAACAAUAUCGAAAAUAAAAACGGUGUCAUAUAAGGGAUAGAAAAAAAUAUAAUAUAUUUAUUUGAUUUUCAAAAACAAAAAAUAAAUAUUACAAACUGUUUUUGAUUUUUAUAAAAGCAAAAAUAAAAAAACCAGCCUAAAUGAACACAGCCUUGGCUGUUUUGACAAAUAGAUGCCCUAUAGUUGUAAACCUGUCAGCCCCUCAUAGAUUCAUGAUUUGGAUUUAGUCAAUACUCCAAAUAGUUUUUUAAUGCCAUUUGGCUUAUUCUAUGUGCAAAUGAUUGAUGAUAUUCUUUUGCAUGGAUUGUUAGUGCUCUCCGGACUAUGCUUAUGGAGCUAAUGGAUUUCCAGCAUGGGGAAUACAACCUAACUCGGUCCUGGAUUUUGAGAUUGAGGUCUUGAGUGUGGAGUGACUUCCCAGUAGUAGGAGGCAA